UCGCAAACCACGAAUUGGACCGCGGCUGC
rnacentral:sRNA from 1 species